AUGUUUCUUUCUUGUGGAGCUUUGACCCUGGCUUUUCAACUUCUCUGACAAUGUGGGUCAUCCCUGCUUUGUAACCCAGAAAAGCAGUCAAUCUGCAAGGUUUUGUUGGAUCAUCUUUGGGGAACGCCUUCACUGUAAACAUCACAUAAAAGCGUUAAAAAAAAAUCAACAAUUGCACAACACUAACCAAUAUGCAAAUUGCAAAAAUAGUCAAUAUAAACAACUCACAAGUGAGUAAGAAAUCAACAUUAACAAAUAUUGAAAUAAUUUAAUUGCAAGGCACUGAAAAAAAUCAAUGCAAACACUAAAACUAAGGAAGCAACAUAGGAAGAUGACACUCUUUAUGAAAACAAAAAAAAUUCUUGUAUUAAAAUCUAGAACUGCUAGGAAAUGCGAAUAAUUCAUUUAUAAUAACAAACCAACUACCAAGGCUAGGCAUAGGCCAUCUAUCUACCCACAACUCAUGCAGCAUAGAAAAGAGGCCAUUAUUGAAAUAUCAAGGACCUAUUUACUUGUAGAAAACAGUUUUUCUUUUCAACCUUCGAAGAAUUAGAAGACUAUAGUUUUCUUUUUAUAAAGAAAACAAAGGAAAAGAUGGAAAGCAAGUUCAAUAGUGAAUGAUAGAAAAUAGUUAUGUAUUUUAAAAAUUUUUAAGAAUUAUUUGUAUCCAUUCGUAAUAAAAAAAAAAGUCAUGAUAAAUAUAUUUUAGAUCUAUUUUUUAAUUGUGUCAAUUGUUUUAUCUUAUAAUAAUAUAGUUAGUUCUCAUUACUGUAAAUAAAUGUUUUUUCCCAACUUAAUGAUGAAAAGUUAUAGAAUAAUUUGAGUCAUUAGAGGAGAACAGUUGAAAAUAGAACUUUUGUUAUAAAGAAAAAUAAUGAGGAAAAAACAUAAAGCUGAUUUCCAAAUCUUAGUCAAGUUUUGGAAAAUUGAAAAACAAAAUUUUCAAUUCUCAGAUUGGAAAAUUGAUACAUAUGCACACAAAACUUUAUUUUCCAAUUUACUUAGAACAUUAUUCCCAAAAAUUACUCCAGUUUUCUACAAGUAAGAAAGUACAAAAAGUCCUGAGAUUUUUCAUGCCAAGGAAGAAAUGACAUACAAACGGACAAACCAUACAUGAAUUUAUUUUAUCAAAAGCCCUAUUUUUACAUCCAAAAAACCGAAGACAACCUUAACUAUAGAGGAGUUAGCUAAUACUAAAAAACCACCAUAAUAUGAUCAAAACUAAACAAAAAGCAAUUUAGGCAACAUCAAUUACUGAUAAUGAAAACAAUCAAUGCAUGACUUCAAAAAAAUCAACCAAUGCACAUUAUGUAAGGCCAAAUAUAAAUUUAAAAAGCUUCAGCAAUAAUGAGAUUAAAACAAGAAUUAGAAACCUUUUCCUCUGUGGCGCGAGGCUCUCUUCCUUGGAAGAAAUCCCAAAGAACCAUGCCGGGGGUGUUCAAACUUGCGAUGAGACAUGCUUCAACUUCAGGGUACCACUGCAACACUAUGAAUUUCAAACUUAUUUUCCUUGAAAAAGGCAGAAAAUUCACAACAACAGAAAGCAACAAAUUUUCAAAUGAUAUUUGGUUAAUCUCAAAUGCUACUACUUAUCAAUCUGCGUGUGUAUAAAACCAGAGAAACACUAUUCUCUCCAAGUGAAAAGGAUUAAAGAGGUAUUAUCCCAUAAAGGAGCUGAAAAUUGAGAUAAAGUUUCUGGAUAAAAGCAUAAUGACUAAAACACAGAUACAAAUUAAUAGAAACAUUCAAGUUUCAAUUAAAAAUAAUAAACAUUCUCAAAAAGAAGGGUAAGUUUUAAUAUUUAACAAUUAAUUUAUUAAAAAAAUACACAAUUGACAAUUUCAUUGAAAUACUAUGUAGUCAGACAAAAGUUUCUUGUAUUUGGAUCAGAUAAGGAAAAGUAAAAUCGUAAAUAAUCAAGAGAAACCAUCACAUUAAUUAAACCUGAUUGGAAGCCUCAAAACGGUUCUUUAUUCAACUUUAAAAAUCACUUAANNNNNNNNNNNNNNNNNNNNNNNNNNNNNNNNNNNNNNNNNNNNNGCCAUCAAAAUGCUACAAAGCCAAAAGGUCAUACAAUUUCAUUACUCAAUAAUCACGAAUUUCUUUUCUAGAAAAAAUGAAAUUAUAUCAACCCUUGACCUCUAAGCAUUUGAUAUCAACACCAAACCUUAAUAAGUGAAAUGAAAUGCUUCCCAACCAAAGGCCUAUGGCAUAAAAAUUAUGCCAAAUCUCAAAGCUCAGUGGUAUUCCUUUUCAAAUACCAAUUCAUGGUAUCGGCAAAAAGAGCCAUUUCCGAGACUCCAGCCUUGAUUAUUUCAGCAAUUCUCUUAUAAAGGGAAGUCGUUUCAAAAUCACCACCACGCAAGGCGCAAUAUCAAAAUGUUUAUCAGGACAAGAGCAUUAAAAGAACCUUUAAAAAACCUCCAAAACAUCUAUUUACAAAAGAGUAAAACAAGCAGAACCCAACUCCUUCCAGAACCAAGUAGAGAUCUAAGCUAAUCAAAUAUUGAAUCAAAAAGCGCAAACCAUUAUGAAUAAAUGACAGAAAUUGUAAGGUAUUACCUCCCGAGGAGAUCACUGGACGUACUGUGUGCCGAUAAGAACCCUAGAAAGGUUUAGCUAGGCAUUUAUAUCGUUCUCGAGGUCAGAUCCAACGGCUGCAAUUAGCAUCCAAUGGGUAUUAUUGUCCGUUGGAUGGUUAGGGUUGGGGUUUUGCAAGAAGCGCCGCGGAUCCAGCAGCUAUGGAAAAUAGUAAAUGGGCUAAGAAUAUUCAAAGUUGGGCUGAUUUGUUUUUUGGUUAGUGACUUUUAAGUUAAGUUUGGGUUCUGAGCAAAUUUUAAAAUGGUAUUUAGAAAUUGAAAACGUAAAUCAUAAAAUACUAUUUAUUUUAAUUUUGAAUAAAAAUUAUCUAUCAAAUAUUAAAAUAAUUAGUAACUAUUAAAACAUGUAAUAUUACUAGACAUUAUUUUGAAAAUAAUUUUUUUUAUAACAAUUAUAUAACCUUCAUGUGUAUAGAUGUAAAUAAUUUUUAUCAAAAUAAGAAAUUAAAUUUAUGGGAUAAAUUAUAGUUAAUCAAACUUUAUAAUUUUUUAAUUUUGUUAUAUAUAUUUAUGGUGUCCAAUAAAAAAUGUUAAAUUUUUAUUAAUUAGACAAAUAAAAAAUGUAAGGAUCUUUCUUCUUUUCUCGAAUGUGAGUUCUAUCCUUCCUUUGCCUCUAAGAGUGAGACACAUUUUUUUAGCUACUUUUACUCGGUGAAUUUAAAAAUUAGAAAGAAAUUAUAUUUUUUCUAUAUGCAUAUUUGGAUCUUUGUUGGUUUUCUCCUAUAUUUGCUUGGGUGGUUCAUAAUGUUCUAUUUGGACACUUUAUUUUUAGAGGAAACUCUUUUCCUUUAGAGGAAACUCUUUUCCUUUAGAGGACAUAGCCCCUUCCUUCGGGGGAGUUAUGUUUUUUGUGCUCAAUUAUUAUUUUUUUGUAGUUCUUGGUCUAAAUACUCUAAAAUCUAUUAAUAAAAUUAUUUUUUUUAAAAAAUAAGUUUUACCCUCCUUUCAGAUUCAAGCUUACUCAAUCAUGGAAAUAGCCUCUCUCAUUUCCAUCGAAUUUAGGGUACUCUGAUGCUCGGAAUGGAGGUCGUUUAUCGCAUCAUCACUAGCUCAUCCUCUCCUGAAGACCUAAAACAAUCUAUAAAUUCAAGUGGGAUUUUUCUCGAUAACAAUUUGAUCGAUAAAGUUCUCAAAAGGUUCAGGUUUGGUCAUGGGAAACCCUUGCAAGCACUUGAGCUCUUUAAAUUCACUGCCAAUAGAAAAGGGUUUUAUCACACUCCGAAUUCGUUAGAUACCAUGCUUUAUAUAUGGGCAAAGUCGUCAAUUUGAUCAUAUUUGGGAUGUUUUGAUUAAAAUGAAGAGGAAAGACCCGUCUUUGAUUUCCUCACGAACUAUGCAAGUGGUUUUGGGUAGACUGUGGAAUCUUUUAGAAUGUUCAAGAAGUUGGUUCCUGUGUUUGAUACCAGUUCUUUCAAUGCACUGUUGAGACCCUGUGUUUUCUUUAACAAAGGAAUGAUGAUCCAACCAAUGCACACGCCCCUGGAAUACCGCAGGGCAUAGAGCUCCCUACUUUCUUCUAAUACAAAAGCUACUUCCGACUGGUUUGUUCUUGGAGAAGGAGCUGGUUUUGCUCCUCUUAGAAGAGCUAGAACAUGCUAAGGUAUACCAGCUUUAGGUCAGCUUUUUCUAUUUGUUUUCUUUGAGAGGGGUUUGUUUCCCUUAUGUAUGGUCAAAUGCUGAGAUAACAGAGAAGAGGAGCAAAGAUUUACCCAGAAUUCCUAGGUGGAAGCUUCACAAGGGUAGCCCAAGUAUUUCUGUAGGUUGAAUUUCACAAAUAUGAUGGGCUUUAUGAGUUUUUUAUUUAUUGUAUUCAGGCCUUGAAAAAAAAAAAUAAAUAUCUAACAAUGAACUUUAAAAACUCGCAUCUCAUCCAAAAAGGUUCAGUAAUAAUUAAAGCAGCAGAUGCAGUCACUAAGCAAACCAACAGCAUAAGCACACCUCAAAAGGUUCAAACACUAGGAGAAAAACAAAUUCUCAAACGUAAGAAGAAAAGUUUUGAUGUUCAUCCAUCCUCUCCCAUGCUUAACUAAACUCAAGCCUUAACACGCCCAUAGAACUUGGACUUCUCCUGUGUUGUCUGGAAUCUUCCAUGGCCAAACUUGGAGGAUGUAUCAAUGAACUUGAGCUUAAUCUCCUCCAAAGCAACCCUAGAUGUCUGGUUCAACAAUGAUUGUCUCAAGGUCACAACUCUCUUCUUUGGUCCCACGCAGCAUCCUUUUAUCAUCAAAUAAUCUUCCUUCACCACACCAUAAUGGGGGAAUCCUCCCAUUGGAGUGAUAUCCUUUUCAGUCCUGUUAUUUGUGAAACAGAUUAGCCAAUUUCGAUGGGGCAAAUUUACAAUAACAACAAUAACCUCCUACGAAUUGCUCGAUCAAGAAGAAUGAUAUUAAUAUAGGACAGUGAAAAAAAAGCAUUAAGAAUGUUAACCUGUCAUAUUCAGUAAUUGCAGUAUGAGACUCUUGGCCACUCUUCCCAAGCUUGUAGAUUUUCUUGUUCAUCUCAGUACGGUGAUGAUAACCAUUCUGUCCAGCCCUAGCAACAGUAAAUGACACCCUAGCUGGAUGCCAAGCACCAAUACAUGCCACCUUCCUUAGACCACGAUGGGUCUUGCGGGGCAGACGGGUCACACCCCAACGAGUAACCACACCUUCAUAUCCCUUACCCUUGGUUACACCAAUAAUAUCUAUCAUCUCAUCCUUUUGGAAAACAGCAUCAAUAGGGAUCUGCUUCUCAAAGAAACUGUAGGCAAAGUCGACCUUCUUGGCAAUAUCCCCACCAUUCACCUGAAUCUCCAUUAGAUGGGCUUUCUUCUGCUUCAACCCUUUCAUCUUUCUUAUCUGCAGAGUCAAUAGUGCAGCAAAUGUGAAGAGUUAAGGAUUAAAGAAGAGCACAUACAAGUUGUACAUGAAAGAACAGAAUCAUGAAUCUAUUGAGGAUCAGAAAUCCAGCAGAGCCUUAAAGUGCUACUAAAUUAUUGAGUGAUGAUAUCUCAUUCACAAAUACAGAAAUGAAUGCACAAGGGAAAAGUGGAAGUAAUUUACCUGGGUGUGCGCCAAGACCCGAAUGACGGAACAAUGCUUCUUCAGUUUCUCCAAUUGAGCUUGAAUAUCUUUCUUCCCAUCUUCAGAUUCAAACUUCUUAGAGUACUUGGUGAAUGCCUUCUUUUUGGACUUGCACCAGUUCUUGUAGAAUCUCCUCCUCACAUCCUCACUCAAAUGCUGGGCCCAGACAGUGUUCAGUGAACGGAGACCACGGGGUGUUUUCAUAUAACCCACAACCCCAACCACCACCAUGGGUGGUGUCUCUACGAUAGUAACAGCUUCACAUGUUUCUUUCUUGUGGAGCUUUGACCCUGGCUUUUCAACUUCUCUGACAAUGUGGGUCAUCCCUGCUUUGUAACCCAGAAAAGCAGUCAAUCUGCAAGGUUUUGUUGGAUCAUCUUUGGGGAAUGCCUUCACUGUAAACAUCACAGAAAAGCGUAAAAAAAAUCAACAAUUGCACAACACUAACCAAUAUGCAAAUUGCAAAAAUAGUCAAUAUAAACAACUCACAAGUGAGUAAUAAAUCAACAUUAACAAAUACUGACAUAAAUUUAAUUGCAAGGCACUGAAACAAAUCAAUGCAAACACUAAAACUAAGGAAGCAACAUAGUAAGAUGACACUCUUUAUGAAAACAAAAAAAUGCUUGUAUUAAAAUCUAGAACUGUUAGGAAGUGCGAAUAAUUCAUUUAUAAUAACAAACCAACUACCAAGGCUAGGCAUAGGCCAUCUAUCUACCCACAACUCAUGCAGUCAGAAAAGAGGUUAUUAUUGAAAUAUCAAGGACCUAUUUACUUGUAGAAAACAGUUUUUCUUUUCAACCUUCGAAGAAUUAGAAGACUGUAGUUUUCAUUUUAUAAAGAAAACAAAGGAAAAGAUGGAAAGCAAGUUCAAUUGUGUAUGACAGAAAAUAGUUUUGUAUCUUAAAAAUUUUUUAAAAAUUAUUUGUA
rnacentral:lncRNA from 1 species